GAUGAACGCUGGCGGCGUGCUUAACACAUGCAAGUCGAACGGUGAAGGCGGAGCUUGCUCUGCUGGAUCAGUGGCGAACGGGUGAGUAACACGUGAGCAAUCUGCCCCUGACUCUGGGAUAAGCGCUGGAAACGGCGUCUAAUACUGGAUACGAGCUGCGAAGGCAUCUUCAGCAGCUGGAAAGAAUUUCGGUCAGGGAUGAGCUCGCGGCCUAUCAGCUUGUUGGUGAGGUAAUGGCUCACCAAGGCGUCGACGGGUAGCCGGCCUGAGAGGGUGACCGGCCACACUGGGACUGAGACACGGCCCAGACUCCUACGGGAGGCAGCAGUGGGGAAUAUUGCACAAUGGGCGAAAGCCUGAUGCAGCAACGCCGCGUGUGGGACGACGGCCUUCGGGUUGUAAACCUCUUUUAGCAGGGAAGAAGCGAAAGUGACGGUACCUGCAGAAAAAGCGCCGGCUAACUACGUG
rnacentral:rRNA from 1 species